CUCCUACGGGACUUCUGAGUCGGGAAUAUUGCGCAAUGGAGGGAACUCUGACGCAUUGACGCCGCGUAUAGGAAGAAGGUUUUCGGAUUGUAAACUAUUGUAGACAGGGAAGAAAAAAGACAGUACCUGAAAAGUAAGCUCCGGCUAACUACGUGCCAGCAGCCGCGGUAAUACGUAGGGAGCGAGCGUUAUCCGGAAUUAUUGGGUGUAAAGGGUGCGUAGACGGGUAAAUAAGUUAGUUGUGAAAUCCCUCGGCUCAACUGAGGAACUGCAACUAAAACUGUAUAUCUUGAGUGCAGGAGAGGAAAGCGGAAUUCCUAGUGUAGCGGUGAAAUGCGUAGAUAUUAGGAGGAACACCAGUGGCGAAGGCGGCUUUCUGGACUGUAACUGACGUUGAAGCACGAAAGUAUGGGGAGCAAACAGGAUUAGAUACCCUGGUAGUCCACACUGUAAACGAUGGAUACUAGGUGUAGGUAAUGUUAAGUUAUCUGUGCCGUCGCAAACGCAAUAAGUAUCCCACCUGGGGAGUACGGCCGCAAGGUUGAAACUCAAAGGAAUUGACGGGGGCCCGCACAAGCAGUGGAGUAUGUGGUUUAAUUCGACGCAACGCGAAGAACCUUACCAGGGCUUGACAUACAAAUGAAUACUUAAGAAAUUAAGUAGCUCUUCGGAGCAUUUGAACAGGUGGUGCAUGGUUGUCGUCAGCUCGUGUCGUGAGAUGUUGGGUUAAGUCCCGCAACGAGCGCAACCCUUGUGAUUAGUUGCCAGCAUGUAAAGAUGGGAACUCUAAUCAGACUGCCGUUGAUAAAACGGAGGAAGGUGGGGACGACGUCAAAUCAUCAUGCCCUAUAUGUCCUGGGCUACACACGUACUACAAUGGCUAUAACAAAGAGAAGCAAAAUAGAAAUAUGGAGCGAAACUUAUAAAAGUAGUCUCAGUUCGGAUUGAAGGCUGAAAUUCGCCUACAUGAAGCUGGAAUUGCUAGUAAUGGCAGGUCAGCAUACUGCCGUGAAUACGUUCCCGGGCCUGUACACACCGCCCGU
rnacentral:rRNA from 1 species